rnacentral:lncRNA from 1 species
AAACUACUACACCACUUCUUUUACAAAGAGAAAGAUUCCAUCUUCAGAAUUCUGCAACCUAACCAAAUUUCCUUGGCUCUCUUAACUAGAUUCGUCAGUUGCUUUUCUGCUUCUAAUAAGGUUGUUUCGGAGGGAGAGGACAGUCCACGAGCAUCAACCAAAGUUAAAGCUGGUAGUGAAGCCAAAUCAAAGGAAAGCAAGGCUAAGAAAAGCCCUCCAAUUCCGAUGACUUACUUCCCCAUUGGAACAACAUCUUCUCGCCUGUGAAUGACUGCAACCUGCUUUAAUUUCCCUGCAUGCCAGCUGCUCCAAGGGCCCAUAUAUAUUAUAUCACCAUUCUUUUUUUUUUUCUUUUAAAAAUUCUAUUAAUUUCCUUUUAUCUUCGACAAUAUUAAUAAUGUUUGUUUGAUGAAAUCUACACUUUAGUUAUUGAUUUUUUUUUCUUUAGUAGGAUUAAAGGAAGGCAGUUGUAUGUGCAACUAGCGGUUUUAUAGAUGUAUAAUUAAAAAAUGUUAAUAGCAUAUUAUUCUUUUUGUACCAAAUUAUUAACUCUUUGAUGUUCAAUAAUUGAGCCAGUCAUUUACAAACUCAAGUUUGUCAUGUAAUUUCGUUAUAGGCUUCUAGCUAGUUAAUGAGUAAUGAUCUUUAAGUUCUCUCCUGUAGAUUCUAAAAGGGAAAAAAAAAAGGAAAAGAAAUCGAUCAACAAACAAAAUGAAUUUUUUCUUUACUAAAUUUCAGAUUUUGCUAAAUCAUGUAGUAUUUGAAUUGAAUUUUAACUUGAGCUCAAUUACUUUCCUUGAACAAAUCCCAGCCCAGCUGCAUCUGAAUGAGCUCAAAUACUUUACUUUUUCCCCUUCAAAAGAGAUAAUGAUGCAAGUACAAUACGUCAAUACCCAAAAGAAGCAGUUUAUAAGAAAAUGUGUUUUGCUUGUAAGUAAUAAAAUAGAGAGAGAACAAGCAUCAAUUUGAAUAAGUAAAUUAAGUAGAGGUGCAGUAGAUGUAGCAAAAUAACAUCAAUUGCUAUACCAUACAUAACACAAUGACGUCUCUAGCUAGCUAGCAUAUAUAGUUGUUAUAUUUGGCUCUCAAUCUUAUGAUGAUCAGUAUCUCACAGGCAAAGCAACGCCAAACAAUAACAUCAUUGUCGACACACGGUUCUCAACUUUUGUUUUGUUCUGCAUUUUUUCGUAGCGUUUAAUUAGCAACCAAAGCCCAUCAUAGUCCAUAGACAUCAACAUUACGAGUGCAGUGGGGACUCCGGAGAAGAAAAAGUUGCUCCUUUAAGCAUAUUAAAAAGAUGCGUUGAAACUUUUAUAACUGUAAUCAAUGACUUUUUUUUAGCAUUGAUUUUUAGAGUCUAAAUGAUAUCUCAUAUCCAAAUGGUUCAUGAAUUUUUUUACAUAUAAUAAUAAUAAUAUUAAUAACCAAAUUACCUUUCAAUUUGUAGAAAAAGACAUUGAUAUAAAAAUAAUUGAUAUAAAGUAAAAUGUAUAUAGAAAAGAAGUCUUAAUCUUUAGUUCUUACCUUAGAUGGUUGAAUCUUUAACUUUUUCUACGAAUCAUCCAUCGAAACACAAGUGAACUGAUUAUUUUACAAACAUAUAAGUGAUAUAGUUACAAAUUACAAGUUUGCUCAGACAAAAAAAAAAAAGAUGAUGCGUGAUUGUAACUCAGUGAAACAACAAAAAAUUUUCAUCGACCUCUUCUAUUACUAUUUCAAAUGUAGAGUUGUAAAUAGUAUCCGUGGAAUAAUAUAUUAGAUUGUUAACUUAUUAAGCAUACAGUAUUCACUUUGUGGGUCAAAAAUUAUAAUUUUCUUAAAAUAAAAAAAGAGAUAAAUUAAUAUAAAAUUAUUUUAAAAUGAAAAAAGCAGAAUGAAUUUUAAAAUAUUUAAAUUUAAAUUUCAUUCCUAUUUUAGAAAAAGCAGAAAAGUAAUAUCUUUAGAAAUAUAUAUUUCAUUUUAUUUUUUAUCUUUAAAUAAUUUUUAUUGAUAUCACUUAACUCGUAAUAUCAAACUCAAUCAAAGCUUUUAUAUAUGUAGUAUAGAUAUAUGAUAAACCGAUGGCUAAUCUCUACUUAUUAACUACUAAAAAAUAUACUGAUGAAAAAGAUGAGGAGGUAGAGUUAUCAGUCUAUGCAUUGUUAUUACUAUAUUACGCUAAUGUUUGAAAAAUGAUUUUAGAUUGCUUACUUCACUAUCAAGUAUUGGCAAAAAAAGAAAAAAAAAAACUUAACUAUCAAGUAAUCACAUUCAACAUGUGCUGCUCAUUGUUGAAUUUUCAACUUGACCCAUGGCGGCUUGUUGACCCCGUGAAACACCACACUUACAGCCAAGUACUUCAUCCCUAGAAGGCACCAAAACAACCAGACCGUCCAGGAUCAUGCAUCUUUCCUUUUCGUUAGACUCUGCUACGAAAUAUGCAAGAAAAUUCUUCUACUUUCUCCUUCCUGGUCCUGGAUAUACCUGGCCACAACCCAACAAGCCAGCACCUUAUAUAAAGAGACCCCAAGAAAUUAUGCCCACCAACAUAGCAAAAACAACUGCACUACUUCUCUUACAAAAGAAAGAUUCGAUCUUCAGAAUUCUGAAGCUAACCGAACUUCCAUGGCUCUCUUAACUAGCUUCGUUAGUUGCUUUUCUGUUUCUAAUAAGGUUGCUUCCGAGGGAGAGGACAGUCCACGAGCAUCAACCAAAGUUAAAGCUGGUAGUGAAGCCAAAUCAAAGGAAAGCAAGGCUAAGAAAAGCCCUCCAAUUCCGAUGACUUACUUCCCCAUUGGAACAACAUUUUCUCGCUUGUGAAUUGUUGCAGCCUAAUUUACUGCCCUUGCAUGUCAGCUGCUCCAAGGGCCUAUAUAUAUAUAUAUAUAUAUAUAUAUAUAUAUAUUAUAUCACCAUUCUUGUUCUUUCUUUUAAAAAUUCUAUUAAUUUCUUUUCAUCUUCGACAAUAUUAAUGAUGUUUGUUCGAGGAAACCUACACUAGAGUCAUUGGUUCUUUUCUCUAGUAGGAUUAAAGGAAAUAAGUUGGAGUUUUAGCAGGCAGUUGUUAUAGGCUUAUAGCUUGUUAAUGAGUAAUGUUUUUAAGUUCUCACCUGUAGAUUCUAAAAUGAAAAGAGAAAGAAUUUGAUUAACAAACCAAUUGAAUUUUUUUCUUUACUAAAUUUCAAUUUUUGAUAAAUCAUGUAGUAUUUGAAUUGAAUUUUAAUUUGAGCUCAAAUACUUUCCUUUUCCCCCUUCAAAAGAGAGAUGAAAGUACAAUAUGUCAAUGCCCAAAUGAAGCAGUUUAGAAGAAUAUGCAUGUGUUUUACUUGUAAGUAAUAAAAUAGAGAGAAAAAGCAGCAAUUGAAUAAGUAGAGGUGUAGUAGACGUAGCAAAAUAACAUCAAUUGCUAUAAGAAUAUACUGUACAGAAUACAUCGAUGUUUCUAGCUAGCUAGAAUUUAUAGUUGUUAUAUUUGGCUCUCAAUCUUAUGAUGAUCAGUAUCUCACAGGCAAAGCAACGCUAAACAAUAACAUCAUUGCCGACACACGCUUCUCAACUUUUGUUUUAUUCUGCACUUUUUCGUACGUAGCAUUUAAUUAGCAACCAAACCCCAUCCUCCAUGGUUCAUGGACAUCAAUGUUACGAGUGCAUUGGGGACUCCGGAGAAGGAAGAAGUUGCUUUUUUUUGCAUAUUGGAAAGAUGCCUUGAAACUGUUAUAAUGCAAUUGAUGAUAUUUUCUUAGCAUUGAUUUUUAGAGUCUAAAUGAUGUCUCAUAUCCAAAUGGUUCAUGAAAUUUUUGCAUGUAAUAAUAAAAUUAAUUACCAAAUUACUGCUCAAUUUAGAAAAAAAAAAAAAGAACUUGAUAUUAAAGUAAUUGAUAUAAAAGUAAGUGUUUAUAGAAAAGAAAUCUUUAAUCUUUAGCUCUUACCUUGGACAAUUGACUUUUUAACUUUUCCUACGAAUCAUCUGAUGAAACACAAAUGAGCUGAUUAUUUCACAAACACAUAAGUGAUAUAGUUUUAAAUUAUAAGUUUUCUCAAACAAUAAAAAUGAUGGGUGACUGUGACUCUAAGUGAAACAACAAAAAAAUUUUCUUCGAUCCCUUCCAUUAAUAUUUCAACUGUAGAGUUGAAAAUGGCAUCGAUAAAAAGAUGGUUAACUCUGACUGCGAUUGGAUUAUUAAAAUAAUCUAAUGAUAAGAAAAUUAAAAAAUAAAACUUAUCUUUCAAAUUCAAAAUAGUAAAAGACAAAUCUAAUCAAUUUUAGUAGAGAUAUACAUUCAAAACUUACAAGAUAUAUAUAUAUAUAUAUAUAUUCUUAAAUUUUGGCUAAAUUUAAAAGAUAAAGAUAAAUUUUGAAUUUGAUUUUUUGAAUUCAAAAUUUAUACAAAAUUUUUAAUCUUCGAUAGAUUUUUAUUUUGAAUUUAAAUAAUUGAUUAAAUAUAAUUAUUUUAUAAAUCAAUUUUAGAGGAUGAUAUAUCUAUGAGAUUUUUAAAUUUAACAAUACAUAUAGUUAGAUUAUUAGAAAAUCCAUUUUUACAAAAUAAUAUAUCUAAAUUAGAUUGUUACUAAUAAUUUAAAAAUUAUCCAUGUAGAUAUAUUUUGUCAUUAUAGCAAAAAUUUAAGAAUUUUAUACGUGUCAAAAAAAGAAAUCAUCCACCUAAACAUCCAUAUAAAUAAUUUUUAUCAUGUAAUUUUAUAUGUUGUAAUAUAAUAUAUACUUGCUUGUAACCCAUGCAAUGUAUAAAUUAUUUUACUUAUUUAACUAUGUGUUUAUAUCGUAAAAUUUGUAUUUUUCCUACAAUUAUAUGUCUUUAAAAUUUUAUGACAUAUAUAAAAUAGAAAUAUAUAUUCAAUUAACAUGUCAUAAAAAAAUUAAAUUUUAUUAUUAUUAUCUUGAUCAAAAUUCUUAAAAUAAAUGUGAAAAAAAAAAGAAAUAUUAGAUAUGGAUUGAAAAGUAAAAAAGAAUUGAAUAUAAUAUAAUCUAUAUAAAUAUAAUCUUAAUCUUCCCAUUCAUUAUGUUCUUCAUUCCUCACUUUUCAUUUUUUAAAAAAAGAAAUUCAAAGAAUUCGUCGAAUAUGAAGAUGUCUUUAAUAAAACUUCCCAACUUCAUUGGUCAUCCGGUUGUCUCUCACUAAAAAUCAGGACACUUUGAAGAGUUCCAGUUGACCAUCUCCAUUUGCUACUGUAUUGCUAUAUCUAAUAAUGUAUACAAUGACUCUUUUAAAAUAAAAUUUUCUUUUACUUUUUAUGUUACGUAAAUCCAGUUUGAUUGUUUGUUUUUAAAUAUACAUUUAUAGAAUAGUUGAAUGUAGGGAAAAUAAAGCUAUUAUGCUUCAUGCUCAUUUAUAAAUAUUAAAGCAUACUUGCUAUAUUAGAAGAAGACAAGUGUGAACUUUUACCUUAAUGCAUUGUCUGUCUUUAUUAAAGUUUGUAAAAAUUUAUCUUAAAAAAAAAAAAAAAAACUAGCUAAAUACAAAAUGGCAGCAGCGUGUGGGAAUUACCUAAUUAUUAUUAUAUUACAAUAAGACAAGUAUAUAAACUUUUACCUUAUUAUAAAUUAUGCAUUGUCUAUCUUUAUUAAAGUUUGUAAGAAUUUAUCUUAAAAUAAAACACCCAAAUACAAAACAGCACCAACGUACGGAAACAACCUAGUUAUUAUCAUAUUACGCUAUGUUUGAAAAAUGAUUUUAGAUUGCUUGCUAACUUCACUAUCAAGUAUUGAAGAAGAAAAAAAAAAAAAAAAAACUUAACUAUCAAGUAAUCACAUUCAACACCAGCUGCUCAUUGUUGAAAUUUUCAACUUGACCCAUGGCGGCUUGUUGACCCCCAUGAAACACCACACUUACAUACAAGUAUUUCAUUCCGGUUAGGCAUCAAAAUCAACCUGAUCGUCCAGGAUCAUGCAUCUUUCCUCUUCGUUAGACUCUUCUGCGAAAUAUGCAAGAAAAUUCUUCAACUUUCUCCUUCCUGUUCCUGGAUGUACCUGGCCACAACCCAACAAGCCACCACCUUAUAUAAAGAGACCCCAAGAAAUUAUGCCCACCAACAUAGCAAAAACUACUACACUACUUCUCUUACAAAAGAAAGAUCCGAUCUUCAGAAUUCUGAAAGUUAACCGAAUUUCCAUGGCUCUCUUAACUAGCUUCGUUAGUUGCUUUUCUGGUUCUUACAAGGUUGCUUCCGAGGGAGAGGACAGUCCACGAGCAUCAACCAAAGUCAAGGCUGGUAGUGAAGCCAAAUCAAAGGAAAAGAAGGCUAAGAAAAGCCCUCCAAUUCCGAUGACUUACUUCCCCAUUGGAACAACAUUUUCUCGCCUGUGAAUUGUCGCAACCUGCUUAAUUUACUGCCCUUAUAUGUCAGCUGCUCCAAGGGCCUCUAUAUAUAUAUAUAUAUAUAUAUAUAUAUAUAUUGUGUCUCCAUUCUUUUUCUUUCUUUUAAAAGUUCUAUUAAUUUCUUUUCGUCUUCGACAAUAUUAAUAAUGUUUGUUUGAUGAAAUCUACACUUUAGUUAUUGAAUUUUUUUUCCUAAGUAGGAUUAAAGGAAG